AAUAAAACAUAGGAGCUUAGAGCAUAAAGACUUAUUUUCACUUUUAUUCUUAUCUUGGUAAAACAGUCUGCUGAUGGUGUCACCCUUUGUCUGGUGGAGGUUUAGUGCUGCUGUUGUCGGUAUUAAAGCCAGAAAAAGAGAGAGGGGCGCUGGGAGAUACUUUAACUGCCACAGGCAUAAGCCAUUAUCUUCACUCUGUGAAAAAUUGCCUGAUUUCUUCUCUUGAUAAAACUAGACAUGGGUUUAAAAACAUCACUUAGAAACAUAAACCUCAAAUACCUAAGUCCUUACUUCUCUUCCUUUAUCAUUCGCCAGUGCCUUUGAGAAUUGGAGGGUAGUAAGGUAACUACUUGUAAUGAAAUGCACUUAAAGAGGGUAAAAUGUUAGAUUUCACUUUUGAGGCACAGUUGAUAGAAGCAUUAUCCCUGGAGGGCUUAUUCAAUCAAGAGUCUGAGACAGGUGCCCACCACCACACCCAGCUAAGUUUUGUAUUUUUAGUAGAGACGAGGUUUCACCAUGUUGGUCAGGCUGGUCUUGAACUCCUGACCUUAAGUGAUCUGCCCACCUUGGCCUCCCAAAGUGCUGGGAUUAUAAGCAUAAGCCACUGCACCUGGCCGUUCUGAUAUUCUUAUCACAUUAAAUGCCUCCCUUCAAAUUUCAUCUUUUUUUCCCCCAUUUAAUCUUCGUAAUAACCCUGUUUAGAUCAUUACUAUCCA
rnacentral:lncRNA from 1 species